rnacentral:rRNA from 1 species
GACGUGUGCUCUUCCGAUCUGAACGAACGUUGGCGGCGUGGAUGAGGCAUGCAAGUCGAACGUGAAAACCCUCGGGUGAGUAGCGUGGCGGACGGGCGAGUAACACGUAAUCAAGCUACCUGCUAGACGGGGAUAACUUCGGGAAACCGAUCGUAAGACCCGAUAGUCUCACGACAUCGCAUGGUGAUGUGAGUAAAUGGGCGGGAUCCUUCGGGACCGCCUGCUAGCAGAGGUGAUUGCGGCCCAUCAGUUUGUUGGUAGGGUAACGGCCUACCAAGACUACGACGGGUAGCCGGCCUAAGAGGGUGGCCGGUCGCACUGGGACUGAGACACUGCCCAGACUCCUACGGGAGGCUGCAGUCGAGAAUCUUCCGCAAUGGACGAAAGUCUGACGGAGCGACGCCGCGUGGAGGACGAAGGCCUUCGGGUUGUAAACUCCUGUCACGAGUUAAGAAGUGUAUGCCAUUAAUACCGGCAUGCAUUGACGAAGGCUCGAGAGGAAGCACUGGCUAACUCUGUGCCAGCAGCCGCGGUAAUACAGAGAGUGCGAACGUUGUUCGGAAUUACUGGGCUUAAAGAGUACGUAGGCGGCAUGAUAAGUGAUAGGUGAAAUCCCACGGCUUACCCGUGGAACUGCCUAGCAAACUGUCAAGCUAGAGUGUGGUAGGGGAGAACAGAACUCAUGGUGGAGCGGUGAAAUGCGUAGAUAUCAUGAGGAAUACCGGUGGCGAAGGCGGUUCUCUGGUCCACAACUGACGCUGAGGUACGAAAGCUAGGGUAGCGAACGGGAUUAGAUACCCCGGUAGUCCUAGCCGUAAACGAUGAACACUGGGUUGAGGGGACUUCCACAUCCUCUCGGCCGUAGCGAAAGCGUUAAGUGUUCCGCCUGGGGAGUAUGGUCGCAAGGCUGAAACUCAAAGGAAUUGACGGGGGCUCACACAAGCGGUGGAGGAUGUGGCUUAAUUCGAGGCUACGCGAAGAACCUUAUCCUAGAUUUGACAUGCUUGAGAAUCCCUAUGAAAAUAGAGAGUGCCCUUCGGGGAGCUCUUGCACAGGUGCUGCAUGGCUGUCGUCAGCUCGUGUCGUGAGAUGUCGGGUUAAGUCCCUUAACGAGCGAAACCCUUAUCUCUAGUUGCCAGCGGGUAAUGCCGGGGACUCUAGAGAGACUGCCGGUGUCAAACCGGAGGAAGGUGGGGAUGACGUCAAGUCCUCAUGGCCUUUAUGCCCUGGGCUGCACACGUGCUACAAUGGUAGGUACAGAACGAAGCAAGAUCGCAAGAUGGAGCAAAUCGCUAAAACCUGCCCCAGUUCGGAUUGGAGGCUGCAAUUCGCCUCCAUGAAGUUGGAAUCGCUAGUAAUCGCGGAUCAGCUACGCCGCGGUGAAUACGUUCCUGAGCCUUGUACACACCGCCCGUCAAGUCAUGGAAGCUGGCAGCGCCCGAAGUCGCCCUGAUUCAGGGGUGCCCACGGUGAGGCUGGUGACUGGGACUAAGUCGUAACAAGGUAGCCGUCCCUAUAG